AUGGCCCUUGGCAAGGCGGCUGCGAGUUGGCGCUCCUGGAUCACGGGCGAUACCACUUUGGUGAAGGUGCAAGCGUUCACGGCAAACAGCGGGUAUCCAUGUGAGAAGACGCAUAACAUGUUUCCGGUGAUGGUGCGGGUCACGGCACUGGACGAGGUGGGAGGCUCCAAGCCGCAGCGGCACGUUGGUGUUGAUAUCGUGGCUGUACUAGACAUCAGCGGGAGCAUGUUCGGGGACAAGCUGGAGCAGAUGAAGCAGGCCAUGACAAACGUCAUUGACAAGCUCGGCAACGACGACCGGCUCUCCAUCGUAUCCUUUGAGUCCAAUGUGUACCGCCUCAUGGAGCUCACAUACAUGUCUGAGCAAGGCCGGAGAGCCGCUCGGGACAAGAUCAAUGAGCUCUUCACCAAAGGUGGCACCAACAUGGGCCCGGCUCUGCACGAGGGAGCUCAGGUUUUGCGGGGGCGCCAAACUCAGGAGAUGAGCAGCCGUGUAGGUUGCAUCGUGUUCCUGUCGGAUGGUUUGGACGAUGGUAUCUUCAAGGAAACUAUUAGCCCUGAUUUCCCAGUGCACACCUUUGGCUUGGGCGACGACCACGACCCUCAUGCCUUGAAGUACAUCGCCGACCAGACCUCGGGCACCUACUCCUUCGUCAACAAGGACCCCAAGAAGAUUAACUACGCCUUCCAGCUAUUCAUUGCUGGCAUCACGUCCGUCGCCGCCACGUCCGUCGAGAUCACCCUCGGGACUCCUUAUGGUGUCCUCAUAUCGUCCAUCGCGUCUGGAGGCUACCCCAACAAAACUGGCGCCGACGGGCGGUCUGGCACCGUGCACAUCAACAACAUGUACGCCGGUGACAAGAAGAACUUCAUCGUCUACCUGGUGCUGCCAGCCACAAAGGAGGGCAAGCAAACGGUCCUGACCAUUGGUGGCCAGUACCAUGGCCUCAGUGCCGUGAGCAAGCAGCUGGCCGACAUUGACGUGUCUGUCAUGCGACCACUUGAUAAAUACUCCAGCAAACUAUCCGAGGACCAUGAUGUGGCACAAGAGCUCGCACGGGUGAAACGGCUGAAUGAAAUCCGCUCAGCUUAUGAGGCAGAAGAGCUCGCACGGAUCAAUCAGCUCAAGGCCAAUGGUUCACUUUCUCCUCAACAGCAACAAGCCUAUCUUGCUAGUCUUGCUAGCAGGAUGAAAACAUUAUUGGACACUUUCCAAAAUGUGCCAGCCUUCAAGGAGGAUUAUCAGAAGAUGGUGCCGGCAGACAUCCGCAACACCGAACAGUACAAGAAAUCAGGGCUCCCUUACAUGUUGUCAUGGCUAUCUUCGAACAAUUGGCAGCGUGCAACCACCAUGGACGAUCUCUUCAAUGCUCAUUUCCUGACCCCGGGCCAAAAAGAUGUCCAGGACGCCAGCAAGGCUGCCGAUGCCUCUGCAGCCGCUGCCGCUGCUAAUCCUGCUGCUUCUCCUUCUCCUACUACUAGAUGGGGAAAGAUCAUCGCAAGGGCAAAGAGCAACCCCUGCUCUUGCUUGCUACCGAGUGUUGCUGUGGCACUUGCACUGGCCUCGCUCUUUCUAGCGAUGCUCUACUCUGCAGUCGAGGGAAGCUCCAAGCCGGCGAUGAACUUAGGCCCGCUGCAGUAUCCCAUUCUCACAGACAGCAACUAUGCUGCAUGGGCCAUCAAGAUGGAGGCAUACAUGCGUGCUCAAGGAGUUUGGGACGCGGUGGUAGCCAAAGAUCAUCCCAAAGUUUCUGCGAGAAACAACCAAAUGGCAUUAGCCGCCAUUUACCAAGCUAUCCCGGAGGGGACGUUGUUCCUCCUAUCCCAAAAGAAUACAGCCAAGUCGGCGUGGGAGGCGCUCAAGACCAUGCACAUCGGAGACCAGCGCCUGAGGGAUGCCAAGCUGCAAACCCUCAAGCUGGAGUUUGAGGGGUUGCGCAUGAAGGAGACGGAGUCCACCGACGACUUCGCCGUCCGGCUGACGACGGUCGUCAACAAGAUCCACGCACUCGGUGAACGCAUCGAGGAGCCAUACACCGUCAAGAAGUUCCUCCGCGCCGUCCCCAACAAGUACCUCCAGAUUGCUUCAACCAUCGAGCAGUUUGGCGACCUCAACACCAUGACACUCCAGGAGGUUAUUGGGCGGCUCAAGGUGCAUGAGGAGCGCCUAGGACGACUCGGCGCUGCCGAGAAGGAGAAUGAGUUGUUGACACGCGCUGAGUGGAUAGCAAGGGAAGAGGCCGACCAUCUCAGCCGUGAUGCAACCAAGGUAUAUGCUUCAGUUGCCAAGAUCCUCCUUCGUGAUGCCGAGAAGGAGAAUGAGUUGUUGACGCAUGCUGAGUGGAAAGCGAGGGAAGUGGUUGAUCAGCUCAACCAUGAUGCACCCAAGGUAUAUGCUUCAGUUGCCAAGAUACUCCUCGGCAGGAGCGGGGGAGGCUAUGGCGGUGACACACACCGGGUAAGCGCUUCCAUUGCUAAGAUUUUGGACACUUUGUUUACAAGUGCCGCGAGGAAGGAAAGGGAGGUGAAAUCCCUAAUCGCCGAAGCUCAUGGUGACAAUGAAGCAACUCUUCGCCUCUGA
rnacentral:rRNA from 1 species